GGCAGGGCCUGGCAGCUUAAGUUUGGGAUCAUUUCUUAAGCCCUGUUUGGCGAUCAUUGUUGUCUGCAAAGGUCGAUAGUGAUACCAUGAUGUGGAAUAUUCCAUACAAAAUCUAUAACUGAUGGUCUCAAAUCUUGAACAAUGUAGUUUUAUCUCAGUGCAUUGAGAUCCGGUACUCACAUAAAACCAUGAUUGUAAUUUGGAAAGAGAUUAAUAACUUAUUAACUUGAAAAUAACUUCUUCAACAAGCAGGUCUUUCUCUGACAGCACUGAAACCAAACACGUGAGACCUCUAGUGGUAGCCUUGAGAAUGACGAAGUUAUUCGACAAAGGAAGAAGAGCUUGUCUGGAUGCCAAUUGGCACCCUCUACUCUGAAAAGGCAAACAAAAAAAGCCAAGGACAAGAGCAUCACUGGCAUGGUGGCACAGUUACUGUGAACAGUUGAGUGGGAGGAGCCUGUCUGACUGCAGAAGUUCCCCUGAGAGCGUGGACAAUGCCCUUCACUCAACAGUCAUAAAAGCCUAUGAGCGUCAGUGGAGCUGUGGCCGUUCUGCAUGACUGGAGGAAGGAGGGAGGAUGAAAAGACCAGGAGAUUUCGGCCCCAGAAUGUUCUGGGUGCUAAGAGGAGACGCGAGUCAAAAACCACAGUUAGAGUGGCCUAAUUAAGGACUGAUCCCAGUUCAUCUCCAGGACGUCCGUACUCUAGAGCCUCUACACAGACACACUACACCUCACUGUCUCCAUGCAUUCCUUCCUGUCUCACGCUGCCAAAUACUGAAGGACUUACUCAUAGCAUUUUGUGGUUAACCAAGGCUAUGAGUUUGCCUUUGCUUUGUUAUGGGCCUUUGAGGAGACUCUGUGCGUGAUCGAUGGGGGAUUUGUUUAUUUCUGUCAACAGCAUUUGGAAGUUGGAAGGUCAUUGACUAAAGACCGUGAAGUAAACAAAAAAUAAUUCAAUUACAAUUUCAGAAAGCAGAGAUUUUCAGUGUUGUUGUUUUUGUCCAUCCAUCCAUCCAUCCAUCCAUCCAGAAGAGGAAAAUAAGGCUUCGGCACAUUUCCAGUAAGUUUUAUUUCAGUAUAAGUGGUUUUUAAAACACUUCACACUGUACCUCAAACAUCUCACUUCCUUGUGACCCCCAUAAGCAAGCAAGAUCAACAUAUUAAAAUAUGGCGUGUCCAAUAUCAUUAUAUUCUGUGCAAAAACUUUUUUAAGCAUACUAUUUUACAGAAGAGAAAAAAAAGUCUACAUUUGGAGGGGGUGGGAAUUGAAACGGUCACACAAUAAUCAAGAAUUAUAUUUUGUACAACUGUCAAACUUGGACUACAUGAAAUAAAAUCAUCAGGUGGCUUUAGAUAUGUGUCUUGUUUAAACAGACAAUGCAGACAGGUGCAGUGACCUGUAUAUAACAAUAACAAACAACUUCUACUGCUCUCUUCAGUACAGAUCAUUCUCUUUAGCAUUGCGUAAGGGUAUUGUGAGUGUGUGUGUGAGUGUGUGUGUGCACUUGUGUCGUCAUAAAUACAGUACAUACAUACAAACGCAAUGUGUUCUAAUAAGGCAUAUGUGGCAAAUCGAAGUCCACAGAAAAGAAACAGUACCAUCAGUAUCUUUACAGCACUAUUUAAGCCCUGGAAAAUGGAAAAGGGGGAAAUAAAAUCACAAGUACUUUAUGGAGAAGAAUGUCAAAACAAUGUAGUGAAAGCGGCCCUGCAGUGACCGAGGGCAGAGAGUGCGAUGGGGGGGCUGCUGUGACGUGGGAUAGGGGGAUGGGGGUGGGAACGUGGUCUUGGUGCCUGGGGGCGCCAUGCCUGCCCUGAACCAGUCUACAGUCAGACACUACCAAGGCCCAUUUUCAGGUAUCUCUUCCAAGAGUAUAGGGGUGAACCAUCAAAGUAGAGUUCUUGGCUUUACAAAGUGAGAGGACUGCGAGUGUAUCCAUUUCACACGAGGGGUGGGAGGGAGAGGGGGGGACUAGUGACAUGACCAGUUUCCACAUCGCCUCAAAGCCAUAAAAUCACAGAUAUAAAAUACAUUCAUGAACUAAUAUACAAAUAAACCAAAAAACAGGUCAAUGAAUAAAAGCAUCAUACCUCAAAUAUAUUGAAAUGGCUCUUUAGCAUAGACGGAAAUACACCUUUCAGUUCAUUACUACACAAUAGGGGAAGAGAAAAAUAACAUUUUUUCUUCCUCUUCUUAAGCUUGGCACAUCAUACUGACGUGAAGCGUUUGGCUACUCAGUGAGAGAGCUGGACACACAGUCCACCUCACUGUGACCUAAACAUCAUACUGCUAUUCCAGCAAGCAAGGGUGGUUUCAAUGACGUCAUUAUGAUGUCUUUAAUGACAUUAUGAUCAGAUUGUAGAUUAGAUGUAUACAUUUUUUGUAACAAAAAAAACUAACAGCAACCACAAAAUGCAAUAAUCUGGUUAUGUGACCAGAUAACAACCAAAAUAUGACGUCCUUCCCAUGACAUCUUGCUCUCGUCAUGAAAAAUACAUAUUUGUCUUGUUGUAACAGAGACCAGUUCCUUGUAAUCUGGUUGUAUAACUUCUUCUCAACCAGAAAACCAGUUUACAACCAUAAAAUGACGUCAUUACAACAUCAUGCUCCAAAUGUUGCCCCUAGGGUUCCUAUAGUACCUCAGUGAGGGUUCCAAGUGUUGGCUAAAGACUCAGAUGAUGGUCCCACGCCAGUGUCAGACCAGAUAAAGACCCAGUUCCCUGAGAACAUCAGAGACAAAAGUUCCAAACACUACAAACUAACGGCAGCAGAUUGGG